UCCCUGGUGAUCCAGUGAUUAAGAUUCCUCACUUUCACUGAAAGGGCCUGGGUUCAACCCCUGGUCAGGGAA
rnacentral:tRNA from 1 species